rnacentral:rRNA from 1 species
GACGAAUGCUGGCUGCGUGCUUAACACAUGCAAGUCGAACGGUGAACCAGGGCUUGCCCUGGGGAUCAGUGGCGAACGGGUGAGUAACACGUGGGCAACCUGCCCCUCACUCUGGGAUAACUCCGGGAAACCGGGGCUAAUACCGGAUACGACCUCAUGCGACAUCUCGUGAGGUGGAAAGAACUUCGGUGAGGGAUGGGCCCGCGGCCUAUCAGCUAGUUGGUGGGGUAACGGCCCACCAAGGCGACGACGGGUAGCCGGCCUGAGAGGGCGACCGGCCACACUGGGACUGAGACACGGCCCAGACUCCUACGGGAGGCAGCAGGGGGGAAUAUUGCGCAAUGGGCGAAAGCCUGACGCAGCGACGCAGCGUGAGGGAUGAAGGCCUUCGGGUUGUAAACCUCUUUCAGCGGGGACGAAGCGAAAGUGACGGUACCUGCAGAAGAAGUCCCGGCUAACUACGUGCCAGCAGCCGCCGUAAAAC